rnacentral:rRNA from 1 species
UACGUAGGGUGCGAGCGUUGUCCGGAAUUAUUGGGCGUAAAGAGCUCGUAGGCGGUUUGUCGCGUCGACUGUGAAAACCUACAGCUUAACUGUGGGCUUGCAGUCGAUACGGGCAGACUUGAGUUCGGUAGGGGAGACUGGAAUUCCUGGUGUAGCGGUGAAAAUGCGCAGAUAUCAGGAGGAACACCGGUGGCGAAGGCGGGUCUCUGGGCAGUAACUGACGCUGAGGAGCGAAAGCGUGGGGAGCAAACAGG